AGACCCGAAACCCGGUGAUCUAGCCAUGGGCAGGUUGAAGGUUGGGUAACACUAACUGGAGGACCGAACCGACUAAUGUUGAAAAAUUAGCGGAUGACCUGUGGCUGGGGGUGAAAGGCCAAUCAAACCGGGAGAUAGCUGGUUCUCCCCGAAAGCUAUUUAGGUAGCGCCUCGUGAAUUCAUCUCCGGGGGUAGAGCACUGUUUCGGCUAGGGGGCCAUCCCGGCUUACCAACCCGAUGCAAACUGCGAAUACCGGAGAAUGUUAUCACGGGAGACACACGGCGGGUGCUAACGUCCGUCGUGAAGAGGGAAACAACCCAGACCGCCAGCUAAGGUCCCAAAGUCAUGGUUAAGUGGGAAACGAUGUGGGAAGGCCCAGACAGCCAGGAUGUUGGCUUAGAAGCAGCCAUCAUUUAAAGAAAGCGUAAUAGCUCACUGGUCGAGUCGGCCUGCGCGGAAGAUGUAACGGGGCUAAACCAUGCACCGAAGCUGCGGCAGCGACACUAUGUGUUGUUGGGUAGGGGAGCGUUCUGUAAGCCGUUGAAGGUGGCCUGUGAGGGUUGCUGGAGGUAUCAGAAGUGCGAAUGCUGACAUAAGUAACGAUAAAGCGGGUGAAAAGCCCGCUCGCCGGAAGACCAAGGGUUCCUGUCCAACGUUAAUCGGGGCAGGGUGAGUCGACCCCUAAGGCGAGGCCGAAAGGCGUAGUCGAUGGGAAACGGGUUAAUAUUCCCGUACUUGGUGUUACUGCGAAGGGGGGACGGAGAAGGCUAUGUUGGCCGGGCGACGGUUGUCCCGGUUUAAGCGUGUAGGUGUGUGUUCCAGGUAAAUCCGGUUCACUUUAACACUGAGGCGUGACGACGAGGCACUACGGUGCUGAAGCAACAAAUGCCCUGCUUCCAGGAAAAGCCUCUAAGCAUCAGGUAACAUCAAAUCGUACCCCAAACCGACACAGGUGGUCAGGUAGAGAAUACCAAGGCGCUUGAGAGAACUCGGGUGAAGGAACUAGGCAAAAUGGUGCCGUAACUUCGGGAGAAGGCACGCUGACAUGUAGGUGAAGUGAUUUACUCAUGGAGCUGAAGUCAGUCGAAGAUACCAGCUGGCUGCAACUGUUUAUUAAAAACACAGCACUGUGCAAACACGAAAGUGGACGUAUACGGUGUGACGCCUGCCCGGUGCCGGAAGGUUAAUUGAUGGGGUCAGCGCAAGCGAAGCUCCUGAUCGAAGCCCCGGUAAACGGCGGCCGUAACUAUAACGGUCCUAAGGUAGCGAAAUUCCUUGUCGGGUAAGUUCCGACCUGCACGAAUGGCGUAAUGAUGGCCAGGCUGUCUCCACCCGAGACUCAGUGAAAUUGAACUCGCUGUGAAGAUGCAGUGUACCCGCGGCAAGACGGAAAGACCCCGUGAACCUUUACUAUAGCUUGACACUGAACAUUGAGCCUUGAUGUGUAGGAUAGGUGGGAGGCUUUGAAGUGUGGACGCCAGUCUGCAUGGAGCCGGCCUUGAAAUACCACCCUUUAAUGUUUGAUGUUCUAACGUGGACCCGUGAUCCGGGUUGCGGACAGUGUCUGGUGGGUAGUUUGACUGGGGCGGUCUCCUCCUAAAGAGUAACGGAGGAGCACGAAGGUUGGCUAAUCCUGGUCGGACAUCAGGAGGUUAGUGCAAUGGCAUAAGCCAGCUUGACUGCGAGCGUGACGGCGCGAGCAGGUGCGAAAGCAGGUCAUAGUGAUCCGGUGGUUCUGAAUGGAAGGGCCAUCGCUCAACGGAUAAAAGGUACUCCGGGGAUAACAGGCUGAUACCGCCCAAGAGUUCAUAUCGACGGCGGUGUUUGGCACCUCGAUGUCGGCUCAUCACAUCCUGGGGCUGAAGUAGGUCCCAAGGGUAUGGCUGUUCGCCAUUUAAAGUGGUACGCGAGCUGGGUUUAGAACGUCGUGAGACAGUUCGGUCCCUAUCUGCCGUGGGCGCUGGAGAACUGAGGGGGGCUGCUCCUAGUACGAGAGGACCGGAGUGGACGCAUCACUGGUGUUCGGGUUGUCAUGCCAAUGGCACUGCCCGGUAGCUAAAUGCGGAAGAGAUAAGUGCUGAAAGCAUCUAAGCACGAAACUUGCCCCGAGAUGAGUUCUCCCUGAGACUUAGAGUCUCCUGAAGGAACGUUGAAGACGACGACGUUGAUAGGCCGGGUGUGUAAGCGCAGCGAUGCGUUGAGCUAACCGGUACUAAUGAACCGUGAGGCUUAACCUUACAACGCCGAAG
rnacentral:rRNA from 1 species